GACGCUUCUGCUUCUGUUUUCUAGUUUGAACUGAGAACGUCUUCGCAGGUGUACUUGCAGGGCAGGCUGUCACAGAUGAACCAGUGUCACUCCGGAGCUCUCAGUGUGCUGCGUGUGGACU
rnacentral:lncRNA from 1 species